GUCUAGCCCUGAUCGCAGCGGCAUCCUUUGCUUUUUUCCUUUAAAAAAGCAAAGAUAUAGCGUAGAGCAGGUCGAGGC
rnacentral:sRNA from 1 species